rnacentral:lncRNA from 1 species
AUGAGAAGGUGCCCACUCUGCUCACGGAUUACAUCCUCAAAGGUACCUGCACCCUCCUGCCCCUCCAUUGCAUCCUUUGUGCAUCCCUUCCCUCCUGCAACCUCAUUUGUCCCUUUUGCAUCUCCUGUGCAUCCUCUGUGCAUCCUUGGAGAAUCCCAGAUACAUCCUGUAUAUCCUUCCACUUCCCUCAUGCAUCCCUGGUGCAUCCUCCAUGCAUCCUUCAGGAAUCCCAGGUGCACCUCCUGCACAUCCCUCAGGCAUUCUUUGUACAGCUCUGCUGUUCUGCCACACCUCUGGGGGGCCCUGUGCAGCUUCCUGCCCUGUCCUGGGGCCCAUCUGCUUCAUCCACACAGCCUCAGCACCCUCUGCACGCCCCCUCUCACCCCCACACCCCAUCAGGCACCCUCCUCUGCCUCCAUCAGGCAUCCCCAUCCAUCUUCCUUGCAUCUCCCAGGCAUCCUUGUGCGUCCCUGCACAUCUCCCACACCCCUCUUGUGCAUCCUCCUGAGUCCUCGUGUGUCCUUCGUGCUCUUUCUGUGCACUGCUGUGUGUGUGCAUUCCUUGUGCAUCCUCAUGCAUUCUGGUGCAUCCAUGUGCAUUGCAGUGCAUCCCUGUGCAUCCUUCUACAUCCCUGUGCAUGCUCAUGGAUCACAGUGCAUCCCUGUGCUUCCCUGUGCAUUCCAGUGCAUUCCCUUGCACACUUGUGCAUCAUCCUGCAUCCUGGUACAUCCCUGUGCAUCCUCAUGCAUUCCUAUGCAUCCUGGUACAUCCCUGUGUAUGCUCAUGGAUAACAGAGCAUCCUCAUGCAUUCCAUUGCAUCCCCCUGCAUCCCUGUGCAUGCUCAUGGAUCACAGUGCAUCCCCCUGCAUCCCUGUUCUUCCCUGUGCAUCCCCUUGCACACUUGGGCAUCCUCCUGCAUCCUGGUACAUCCCUGUGCAUCCUCAUGCAUUCCUAUACAUCCUCAUGCAUUCCUGUGCAUCCUCAUGGACCACAGUGCAUUCUUAUGAAUUCCAGUGCAUCCUUGUGCAUCCCUGUGCAUCCUCAUGGAUCACAGAGCAUCCUCCUGCAUCCCUGUGCAUUCUCCUUCAUCCCAGUGCAUCCUCAUGGAUCCCUGUGCUUGCUCAUGAAUCACAGCACCUCCUCCUGCAUCCCUGUGCCUCCUCCUGCAUUCCAAUGCACCCUCAUGCUUCCCCACACACACCUGUGCAUGCUCCUGCCCCACUGCAGCCUCGGUGCCCCCACCCUCCCUCUCUCUCUCUCUCUCUCUCUCUCUCUCUUGGCAGUGCUCUGCCCGACCUGACGCGGUGCUGCCCCCACACUCCCACCCCGGCGCCUCCAAAACAGGGCCAAACCCAAGGAAAAAGGGUCACCCACCUGUGGCUGCCCCACCCUGCACUUCCCCCUUUGCACAGCUGGGAAUAA